rnacentral:rRNA from 1 species
GGGUUGUGAGGUUAAGCGACUAAGCGUACACGGUGGAUGCCCUGGCAGUCAGAGGCGAUGAAGGACGUGCUAAUCUGCGAUAAGCGUCGGUAAGGUGAUAUGAACCGUUAUAACCGGCGAUUUCCGAAUGGGGAAACCCAGUGUGAUUCGUCACACUAUCAUUAACUGAAUCCAUAGGUUAAUGAGGCGAACCGGGGGAACUGAAACAUCUAAGUACCCCGAGGAAAAGAAAUCAACCGAGAUUCCCCCAGUAGCGGCGAGCGAACGGGGAGCAGCCCAGAGCCUGAAUCAGUGUGUGUGUUAGUGGAAGCGUCUGGAAAGGCGCGCGAUACAGGGUGACAGCCCCGUACACAAAAAUGCACAUACUGUGAGCUCGAUGAGUAGGGCGGGACACGUGGUAUCCUGUCUGAAUAUGGGGGGACCAUCCUCCAAGGCUAAAUACUCCUGACUGACCGAUAGUGAACCAGUACCGUGAGGGAAAGGCGAAAAGAACCCCGGCGAGGGGAGUGAAAAAGAACCUGAAACCGUGUACGUACAAGCAGUGGGAGCACGCUUAGGCGUGUGACUGCGUACCUUUUGUAUAAUGGGUCAGCGACUUAUAUUCUGUAGCAAGGUUAACCGAAUAGGGGAGCCGAAGGGAAACCGAGUCUUAACUGGGCGUUAAGUUGCAGGGUAUAGACCCGAAACCCGGUGAUCUAGCCAUGGGCAGGUUGAAGGUUGGGUAACACUAACUGGAGGACCGAACCGACUAAUGUUGAAAAAUUAGCGGAUGACUUGUGGCUGGGGGUGAAAGGCCAAUCAAACCGGGAGAUAGCUGGUUCUCCCCGAAAGCUAUUUAGGUAGCGCCUCGUGAAUUCAUCUCCGGGGGUAGAGCACUGUUUCGGCAAGGGGGUCAUCCCGACUUACCAACCCGAUGCAAACUGCGAAUACCGGAGAAUGUUAUCACGGGAGACACACGGCGGGUGCUAACGUCCGUCGUGAAGAGGGAAACAACCCAGACCGCCAGCUAAGGUCCCAAAGUCAUGGUUAAGUGGGAAACGAUGUGGGAAGGCCCAGACAGCCAGGAUGUUGGCUUAGAAGCAGCCAUCAUUUAAAGAAAGCGUAAUAGCUCACUGGUCGAGUCGGCCUGCGCGGAAGAUGUAACGGGGCUAAACCAUGCACCGAAGCUGCGGCAGCGACGCUUAUGCGUUGUUGGGUAGGGGAGCGUUCUGUAAGCCUGCGAAGGUGUGCUGUGAGGCAUGCUGGAGGUAUCAGAAGUGCGAAUGCUGACAUAAGUAACGAUAAAGCGGGUGAAAAGCCCGCUCGCCGGAAGACCAAGGGUUCCUGUCCAACGUUAAUCGGGGCAGGGUGAGUCGACCCCUAAGGCGAGGCCGAAAGGCGUAGUCGAUGGGAAACAGGUUAAUAUUCCUGUACUUGGUGUUACUGCGAAGGGGGGACGGAGAAGGCUAUGUUGGCCGGGCGACGGUUGUCCCGGUUUAAGCGUGUAGGCUGGUUUUCCAGGCAAAUCCGGAAAAUCAAGGCUGAGGCGUGAUGACGAGGCACUACGGUGCUGAAGCAACAAAUGCCCUGCUUCCAGGAAAAGCCUCUAAGCAUCAGGUAACAUCAAAUCGUACCCCAAACCGACACAGGUGGUCAGGUAGAGAAUACCAAGGCGCUUGAGAGAACUCGGGUGAAGGAACUAGGCAAAAUGGUGCCGUAACUUCGGGAGAAGGCACGCUGAUAUGUAGGUGAAGUCCCUCGCGGAUGGAGCUGAAAUCAGUCGAAGAUACCAGCUGGCUGCAACUGUUUAUUAAAAACACAGCACUGUGCAAACACGAAAGUGGACGUAUACGGUGUGACGCCUGCCCGGUGCCGGAAGGUUAAUUGAUGGGGUCAGCGCAAGCGAAGCUCUUGAUCGAAGCCCCGGUAAACGGCGGCCGUAACUAUAACGGUCCUAAGGUAGCGAAAUUCCUUGUCGGGUAAGUUCCGACCUGCACGAAUGGCGUAAUGAUGGCCAGGCUGUCUCCACCCGAGACUCAGUGAAAUUGAACUCGCUGUGAAGAUGCAGUGUACCCGCGGCAAGACGGAAAGACCCCGUGAACCUUUACUAUAGCUUGACACUGAACAUUGAGCCUUGAUGUGUAGGAUAGGUGGGAGGCUUGGAAGUGUGGACGCCAGUCUGCAUGGAGCCGACCUUGAAAUACCACCCUUUAAUGUUUGAUGUUCUAACGUUGACCCGUAAUCCGGGUUGCGGACAGUGUCUGGUGGGUAGUUUGACUGGGGCGGUCUCCUCCUAAAGAGUAACGGAGGAGCACGAAGGUUGGCUAAUCCUGGUCGGACAUCAGGAGGUUAGUGCAAUGGCAUAAGCCAGCUUGACUGCGAGCGUGACGGCGCGAGCAGGUGCGAAAGCAGGUCAUAGUGAUCCGGUGGUUCUGAAUGGAAGGGCCAUCGCUCAACGGAUAAAAGGUACUCCGGGGAUAACAGGCUGAUACCGCCCAAGAGUUCAUAUCGACGGCGGUGUUUGGCACCUCGAUGUCGGCUCAUCACAUCCUGGGGCUGAAGUAGGUCCCAAGGGUAUGGCUGUUCGCCAUUUAAAGUGGUACGCGAGCUGGGUUUAGAACGUCGUGAGACAGUUCGGUCCCUAUCUGCCGUGGGCGCUGGAGAACUGAGGGGGGCUGCUCCUAGUACGAGAGGACCGGAGUGGACGCAUCACUGGUGUUCGGGUUGUCAUGCCAAUGGCACUGCCCGGUAGCUAAAUGCGGAAGAGAUAAGUGCUGAAAGCAUCUAAGCACGAAACUUGCCCCGAGAUGAGUUCUCCCUGACUCCUUGAGAGUCCUGAAGGAACGUUGAAGACGACGACGUUGAUAGGCCGGAUGUGUAAGCGCAGCGAUGCGUUGAGCUAACCGGUACUAAUGAACCGUGAGGCUUAACCUUACAACGCCGAAGCUGUU